GGGUGUACGCUAAGCAAGGUUCACCCCUAUACCAAGGAUACUAUACCAUACUAGUAUUGAACCGAUACUCAAGUGCAUACCGAGUAUCAUAUGCCGAACCGACCCCUAUACUAAUGCUAUACCAAUAUAGUACCGAUAUAGGCCCAGUACCAAGAUAGCGAAUUUUGAUACUAAAGUUUAAAAAGUAUAGAGAUUGGAAAAUGAACCUAAUGAAAUUCUAAUCAAGUUAAAACUUAAAUAACGUAAUACAGGCUUAGACCUAGAAUCAUUUAGACAAAAUAAGACUUCUUAAACUCAAGGGUUAUUAAAUGGCUAAUUUUAGCAUUGAAAUGACUAGUUAAAAGCCAAAUGAUAAAAUUUCAUAUAAUGUUUGGCAAGUUGACUGACCAUCUUAAAAAAGGAACUAAACACUCGGUCCCUUGUUUGACUGCCAUUUGAUGAUGAUUGGUCCUCAGCUAUUUUGCUCAGUCCUUUAGACCACUUUUUGAACAGUUAGUUCUAUUUCCAUAUAAAGGUUCGCCAAACUGGUACCAUGACUCUUAUCGGUCGGUUACUGGUAUUGUACGGUACAAGUCGUUACCAUGUCGUGCCAGAGCAUACCGAAACAAGGAGAGGGAGAAUGAUGGGAACAUCAGAGCCCCACAUUCAGAUGAUAGAGUCAAUUAGUUGCUUUUAUCAUUGGUCGAGUCAAUUUGGUUAGUUGCUUUUGUUAUUGGUCGAGUCAGUUUGGUUAGUUGUUUGGUUAUUGGUUGAGUCAGUUUGAUUAGUUACUUUUGUUAUUGGUCGAGUCAGUUUGGUUAGUUGUUAAGUCGUGUAAUUAGAUCGAGUGAUUGGAUCGAUUUUGGUAUGUAAUCAAUCGGUUGACUUAGUCAAUUGAUUGAGGAUCCAAAUUUGGUAUGUCGUCAAUUGAUUGACCUGAUGUAAGGCCUAUAUAAAGGCCACCCCUCAUGAAUUAGGAAUUGAAUGAUUGAAUAAAAAAAUUCUAGCCUCCUUUCUGCUUCAUCUUCUUCUUCCUCCUCUUCUCUUCUUCUUGCGUCUCUAUAACCUCUUCUUCCUCCUUUCCUUCUUCCUCUUUCUCUCUUCUCUCUACAAUGGUCUACUAUCAGCUUGGUAUCAGAGCAGGCCGGCUUUGCCCCUGCUGCCAAAACCACGAUCCAGUUUCUUUUCUCGUCUCUCUCUCUCUUUGUUUUCAACAGAAAAAACAAAGGCUUAACAAGACCCUCCCCUCUCAACUCGUGCCUUUCUCCCUCCCUCUCGGUUUUCACCAAGAAAAAGGGGAGAACCCCUGCGGCUGCUCCUCCCCACCACCCGUCACUCCCGUGGCCGCCCUCACCCCCGUGCACAACGCCAGCAAUGCCGCCAUCUUCCGAGCGCCACCUCCUACAAGUGUCGGCCCCUCCGCAACGCCACGUUGCAGUCCUUGAAGCCCCGCGCCUGCCGCUUCUUCCGCCAAGCUCCACCUGGAUCUUCGCCGCAAACCACCCCACGGCCGCCCCCUCAUGUCGCGGAACCGCCCUCUCCCUCGUGGCCGUCCACCGCCGCCGUCGUCACCGCACCACAGCCGCCGCACCACGACGUCCUCCGUCGAGGUCCUCCGGCUCCAAGCACCGCCUUGUCUGAGCCGCUCACCUUCCUCUUCCUUCAUCCCGUCACCACCUUCUUCCUUCAUUCUGUCGCCGCCUUCUUCCUCACAAGUCCUAGUACCAAGAUAGCAAAUUUUGAUACUAAAGUUUAAAAAGUACAGAGAUUGGAAAAUGAACCUAAUGAAAUUCUAAUCAAAUUAAAACUUAAAUAACGUAAUACAAGCUUAGACCUAGAAUCAUUUAGACAAAAUAAGACUUCUUAAACUCAAGGGUUAUUAAAUGGAUAAUUUUAGCAUUGAAAUGACUAGUUAAAGCCAAAUGAUAAAAUUUCAUAUAAUGUUUGGCAAGUUGACUGACCAUCUUAAAAAAGGAACGAAACACUUGGUCCCUUGUUUGACUUCCAUUUGAUUAUGAUUGGUCCUCAGCUAUUUUGCUCGGUCCUUUAGACCACUUUUUGAACAGUUAGUCCUAUUUCCAUAUAAAGGUUCGCCAAACUGAUACCAUGACCCUUAUCGGUCGGUUACUGGUAUUGUACGGUACAAGUCGUUACCAUGUCGUGCCAGAGCAUACCGAAACAAGGAGAGGGAGAAUGAUGGGAACAUCAGAGCCCCACAUUCAGAUGAUAGAGUCAAUUAAUUGCUUUUAUCAUUGGUCGAGUCAGUUUGGUUAGUUGUUUUUGUCAUUGGUCGAGUCAGUUUGGUUAGUUGCUUUUGUUAUUGGUCGAGUCAAUUUGGUUAGUUGUUAAGUCGUGUAAUUGGGUCGAGUGAUUGGAUCGAUUUUGGUAUGUAAUCAAUCAGUUGACUUAGUCAAUUGAUUGAGGAUCCAAGUUUGGUAUGUCAUCAAUUGAUUGACAUGAUGUAAGGCCUAUAUAAAGGCCACCCC
rnacentral:lncRNA from 1 species